CUUCAUUUGUUAUAUUAAUGAAAAGCCACUUUAAAUCAAGUUUCCUGUUGAUAUUUCAUUAUGUAUGCUGUUCUUACACAUCUCUAAAGGAGAUUUACGUUACAGGUAGUAACCACAAAUACCGGCCAUGGACAUGCUGUUAAUUUAAAAUGUAAAGUUUUCUUUUGAGGCGCAGCAGACAUAUAGGGUCUCUCUCUUCGCCAGGGCCGCUCACUUCCCUGUGAAAAUGACCCACAGCUGUCGCCCCAUCCGGAGGCCCAACCUACAGGCAGGGAUCUGACGUUCACACCCAGGUUCACGGAAGACAGAGCUCAGCACGGGGCCAGAGCAUAAUGUGCAGGGACUGGCCCCGCUCCCGACAACAUGGGCAGCCUUGACGGUGGCGCUGGCCUUGCCCUCGGCUGUCGCUGAACGUUUCCAGGUGCCAGCACUGCACCAGGCAGGUGAGGGAGGCAACAGCUGGGAUGACUGGGGCACAACCAGUGGUCUGGCCACGCUUCCUCUGGUGGCCUUCAGGGCCUUACAAACACCGACAGACGUUACCUCCAGGACCCUCACGAGGACCCUCUGCGUCAAGCUGUCAUCGUCACUCCUGUUUUACAGGUCCGUGGAAGCAGUGAGCUAUGUAUUGGAUGUUGCAGAAAGCCAGCUUCUCUGGUGACUCAGAUGGCAAAGAAUCUGCCUGCAAUGCAGGAGACCUGGGUUCGAUCCCUGGGUCAGGAAGAUCCCCUGGAGAAGGGAAUGGCAACAC
ensembl:lncRNA